CACGGGGGGAGCAAGCGUUGUUCGGAAUCACUGGGCGUAAAGAGCGUGUAGGCGGCCAGGUAGGUCUGCUGUGAAAACUCGAGGCUCAACCUCGAGACGUCGGCGGAAACCAUCUGGCUAGAGUCCGGAAGAGGAGAGUGGAAUUCCUGGUGUAGCGGUGAAAUGCGCAGAUAUCAGGAAGAACACCCGUGGCGAAGGCGGCUCUCUGGGACGGUACUGACGCUGAGACGCGAAAGCGUGGGGAGCGAACAGG
rnacentral:rRNA from 1 species